rnacentral:rRNA from 1 species
AACGCUGGCGGCGUGCCUAAUACAUGCAAGUAGAACGCUGAAGAGAGGAGCUUGCUCUUCUUGGAUGAGUUGCGAACGGGUGAGUAACGCGUAGGUAACCUGCCUUGUAGCGGGGGAUAACUAUUGGAAACGAUAGCUAAUACCGCAUAACAAUGGAUGACACAUGUCAUUUAUUUGAAAGGGGCAAUUGCUCCACUACAAGAUGGACCUGCGUUGUAUUAGCUAGUAGGUGAGGUAACGGCUCACCUAGGCGACGAUACAUAGCCGACCUGAGAGGGUGAUCGGCCACACUGGGACUGAGACACGGCCCAGACUCCUACGGGAGGCAGCAGUAGGGAAUCUUCGGCAAUGGGGGCAACCCUGACCGAGCAACGCCGCGUGAGUGAAGAAGGUUUUCGGAUCGUAAAGCUCUGUUGUAAGUCAAGAACGAGUGUGAGAGUGGAAAGUUCACACUGUGACGGUAGCUUACCAGAAAGGGACGGCUAACUACGUGCCAGCAGCCGCGGUAAUACGUAGGUCCCGAGCGUUGUCCGGAUUUAUUGGGCGUAAAGCGAGCGCAGGCGGUUUGAUAAGUCUGAAGUUAAAGGCUGUGGCUCAACCAUAGUUCGCUUUGGAAACUGUCAAACUUGAGUGCAGAAGGGGAGAGUGGAAUUCCAUGUGUAGCGGUGAAAUGCGUAGAUAUAUGGAGGAACACCGGUGGCGAAAGCGGCUCUCUGGUCUGUAACUGACGCUGAGGCUCGAAAGCGUGGGGAGCGAACAGGAUUAGAUACCCUGGUAGUCCACGCCGUAAACGAUGAGUGCUAGGUGUUGGAUCCUUUCCGGGAUUCAGUGCCGCAGCUAACGCAUUAAGCACUCCGCCUGGGGAGUACGACCGCAAGGUUGAAACUCAAAGGAAUUGACGGGGGCCCGCACAAGCGGUGGAGCAUGUGGUUUAAUUCGAAGCAACGCGAAGAACCUUACCAGGUCUUGACAUCCCGAUGCUAUUUCUAGAGAUAGGAAGUUACUUCGGUACAUCGGCGACAGGUGGUGCAUGGUUGUCGUCAGCUCGUGUCGUGAGAUGUUGGGUUAAGUCCCGCAACGAGCGCAACCCCUAUUGUUAGUUGCCAUCAUUCAGUUGGGCACUCUAGCGAGACUGCCGGUAAUAAACCGGAGGAGGGUGGGGAUGACGUCAAAUCAUCAUGCCCCUUAUGACCUGGGCUACACACGUGCUACAAUGGUUGGUACAACGAGUUGCGAGUCGGUGACGGCAAGCUAAUCUCUUAAAGCCAAUCUCAGUUCGGAUUGUAGGCUGCAACUCGCCUACAUGAAGUCGGAAUCGCUAGUAAUCGCGGAUCAGCACGCCGCGGUGAAUACGUUCCCGGGCCUUGUACACACCGCCCGUCACACCACGAGAGUUUGUAACACCCGAAGUCGGUGAGGUAACCUUUUGGAGCCAGCCGCCUAAGGUGGGAUAGAUGAUUGGGGU